rnacentral:rRNA from 1 species
UACGUAGGGGGCAAGCGUUAUCCGGAUUUACUGGGUGUAAAGGGGGCGCAGACGGCAAUGCAAGCCAGGAGUGAAAGCCCGGGGCCCAACCCCGGGACUGCUCUUGGAACAGCAUGGCUGGAGUACAGGAGGGGCAGGCGGAAUUCCUAGUGUAGCGGUGAAAUGCGUAGAUAUUAGGAGGAACACCAGUGGCGAAGGCGGCUUACUGGACUGUAAAUGACGCUGAGGCUCGAAAGCGUGGGGAGCAAACAGG